AUUGAACGCUGGCGGCAGGCCUAACACAUGCAAGUCGAACGAGGGGCGGACGGGUGAAUCAUGUCUGGGACCCUGCCUGAUGGAGGGGGAUAACUACGGGAAACGGUAGCUAAUACCGCAAACCGUCGGAUGUUCGCAGAUGGGAUUGGCUAGUAGGUGGGGUAAAGGCUCACCUAGGCGACGAUCCCUAACUGGUCGGAGAGGAUGAACGGCCAAACUGGGACUGAGACACGGUCCAGACUCCUACGGGAGGCAGCAGUGGGGAAUAUUGGACAAUGGGCGAAAGCCUGAUGCAGCAAUGCCGCGUGUAUGAAGAAGGUCUUCGGAUUGUAAAGUACUUUUAUCGGGGAGGCGGUACCUAAAGAGGAAGCCCCGGCUAACUACGUGCCAGCAGCCGCGGUAAUAC
rnacentral:rRNA from 1 species